rnacentral:rRNA from 1 species
CCUACGGGAGGCAGCAGUGAGGAAUAUUGGUCAAUGGGCGCGAGCCUGAACCAGCCACGUAGCGUGAAUGAUGACUGCCCUACGGGUUGUAAACUUCUUUUAUAAAGGAAUAAAGUGUGGCACGUGCUCCUUUUUGUGUGUACUUUAUGAAUAAGGAUCGGCUAACUCCGUGCCAGCAGCCGCGGUCAUACGGAGGAUCCGCGCGUUAUCCGGAUUUAUUGGGUUUAAAGGGAGCGUAGAUGGGUUGUUAAGUCAGUUGUGAAAGUUUGCGGCUCAACCGUAAAAUUGCAAUUGAUACUGGAAGGCUGGAGUACAGUUGAGGUAGGCGGAAUUCGUGGUGUAGCGGUGAAAUGCUUAGAUAUCACGAAGAACUCCGAUGGCGAAGGCAGCUUACUAAACUGCAACUGACAUUGAUGCUCGAAAGUGUGGGUAUCAAACAGGAUUAGAUACCCUUGUAGUC